rnacentral:lncRNA from 12 species
CCAUCAGGAAUAGUGGUUUAAGAGGACGCUCGGCCUGGGGCACUAUACCCUGUCAUCGAGUUCCCUGCCUCGGAGAUAAAGAUUCCAGCUACAUGGGUAAACGCCUGGAUCAGCCACAAAUGUACCCCCAGUACACUUACUACUAUCCUCACUGUCUCUAAACCAAGGCCUGACCAAGGGUGAACAAAAGCCUCUCCUUGCUUAUUA